AGGUCAAGCUACAAAGGGCGCAUGGUGAAUGCCUUGGCAUCAGGAGCCGAUGAAGGACGUGAUAAGCUGCGAUAAGCUUCGGGUAGGCGCACAUAGCCAGAGAUCCGGAGAUUUCCGAAUGGGGAAACCCGCAUGAGAAACCUCAUGCAUCGUAAAGUGAAUACAUAGCUUUAUGAAGGAACACCUAGGGAACUGAAACAUCUAAGUACCUAGAGGAAGAGAAAGAAAAAUCGAUUUUCUUAGUAGCGGCGAGCGAAAAGGAAAGAGCCCAAACCAGAGAUUUAUCUCUGGGGUUGCGGACAGAACAUAACGUGAAAUUAUGAUUAACCGAACACAACUGGAAAGUUGGACCGUAGGAGGUAAUAGUCCUGUAAGUAAAAGUCAUAAUGAUCAGUUCUGCACCAGAGUACCACGAGACACGUGAAACCUUGUGGGAAGCAGGGAGGACCACCUCCCAAGGCUAAAUACUACCUGAUGACCGAUAGUGAAGCAGUACCGUGAGGGAAAGGUGAAAAGAACCCCGGGAGGGGAGUGAAAUAGAACCUGAAACCAUGUGCCUACAACCGAUCAAAGCACCUUAUGUGUGUGAUGAUGUGCUUUUUGUAGAACGAGCCAACGAGUUACGGUAUGUAGCGAGGUUAAGUACUUAAGGUACGGAGCCGAAGGGAAACCGAGUCUUAAUAGGGCGACUAGUUGCAUGCUGUAGACCCGAAACCGGGUGACCUAUCCAUGGCCAGGUUGAAGCGAGGGUAAAACCUCGUGGAGGACCGAACCACGUUGCUGUUGAAAAAGCAUGGGAUGAGCUGUGGAUAGCGGAGAAAUUCCAAUCGAACUCGGAUAUAGCUGGUUCUCCUCGAAAUAGCUUUAGGGCUAGCGUCGUGAAAUGUGAGUACUGGAGGUAGAGCACUGAAUAGGCUAGGGGCAUAGCGCUUACCGAACCUUAUCAAACUCCGAAUGCCAGAUACUAUCAGCA
rnacentral:rRNA from 1 species